UGGGGAAUUUUGGACAAUGGGCGAAAGCCUGAUCCAGCCAUGCCGCGUGUGUGAAGAAGGUCUUCGGAUUGUAAAGCACUUUAAGUUGGGAGGAAGGGCAUUAACCUAAUACGUUAGUGUUUUGACGUUACCGACAGAAUAAGCACCGGCUAACUCUGUGCCAGCAGCCGCGGUAAUACAGAGGGUGCAAGCGUUAAUCGGAAUUACUGGGCGUAAAGCGCGCGUAGGUGGUUUGUUAAGUUGGAUGUGAAAUCCCCGGGCUCAACCUGGGAACUGCAUUCAAAACUGACUGACUAGAGUAUGGUAGAGGGUGGUGGAAUUUCCUGUGUAGCGGUGAAAUGCGUAGAUAUAGGAAGGAACACCAGUGGCGAAGGCGACCACCUGGACUAAUACUGACACUGAGGUGCGAAAGCGUGGGGAGCAAACA
rnacentral:rRNA from 1 species